GAACUCUUUCACCUAUGAUCUCCUCUGAACAGCUGAUGAGGAAUUCGUGCCAUCAACCUGGAGGACAACUUGGAGGACCAAAUGCUCCCAACCAGACCUCAAGGUUAAAAAGAAUUUCAAAUGGGAGCCUUCUUUUGUAGUUUGGUGGGACUAAGCAGCUGUGGUGAGAAGAAGAAAAGUAGACAAGAGUUAUUUCACCCAAAAAGAGCCAAUAUUUAUUGACCAAUGAGGAAGAAUGGGAAUGAAAGGAAACAAAGAGAAGAAGCUGUGGAGGAAACAUGUGAAUAUGAUAGAGAAGGAGAAGGAAAUGAGGGAGAAAGAAAAGGCUUCGAAACAGUCUCUGUCUUAGGUUGCCAGAGUCCCAUUCCUCAACAAGAACUGGAUUUUCACUAUUCAUAGCCCUAAGUAAACGAGACAACCAACGCCAAUUUUUCCAGUGUCCUGAGGGUCUGCUGCUAUAACCACACCACCUCUGGUAUUGACAAAUCCGGGUUCUUCAGUUGAGAAGAUAAUUCUGAGGAAUCUACAUAGGAAACAAAUUGUCCAGAAGCAUACCGGAUAAGACAGGGUUUCUAGAGAAGACAGAGAACCAGACUCGGGAGCCAUAUAACUAAGAAAAAUGUAAGCCACAGAAGUGGUUCCAGGCUGCCACUUCCUCUGGGUGGACACAAAGCUGGACUCCGGAUGCUGCUACCAGAAACACUUCUGUGUCACCUCUGCAAGCAGGUGUUACUUUCUCAGUCUCUGCCUAUGGCCAGGUAACAGUCAAUAUCGCCCCUGCCUUGAGGGACCACUAGUUUCUCAUCCAAAGUCAAGGGACAGUUCUGAAUGAAGGAGCCUAGGUCAUUUGCUGUCCUAGGGUGCCUUACCCAGAA